rnacentral:rRNA from 1 species
UAACGCUGCGGCAGGCUAACACAUGCAAGUCGAGCGGUAGCACAGGGGAGCUUGCUCCCUGGGUGACGAGCGGCGGACGGGUGAGUAAUGUCUGGGAAACUGCCUGAUGAGGGGGAUAACUACUGGAAACGGUAGCUAAUACCGCAUAACGUCGCAAGACCAAAGAGGGGGACCUUCGGGCCUCUUGCCAUCAGAUGUGCCCAGAUGGGAUUAGCUAGUAGGUGGGGUAAUGGCUCACCUAGGCGACGAUCCCUAGCUGGUCUGAGAGGAUGACCAGCCACACUGGAACUGAGACACGGUCCAGACUCCCUACGGGAGGCAGCAGUGGGGAAUAUUGCACAAUGGGCGCAAGCCUGAUGCAGCCAUGCCGCGUGUGUGAAGAAGGCCUUCGGGUUGUAAAGCACUUUCAGCGAGGAGGAAGGUGGUGAACUUAAUACGUUCAUCAAUUGACGUUACUCGCAGAAGAAGCACCGGCUAACUCCGUG